CAGAUGGACAAAGUGUAUUGUAAAGUGGGCAGCGCGCCGUAGAAGACAGCGGCAGAGGAACGACGUCAGGGGAAAGAGAAAGGCUAUGCUGUAGGUGAAGCUGCUGGCUCCGUGUCCAGUUACAAUUAUUAAGGACUCUUCGUGCCUUCGUGCAGGAAGAAGGAAGAAGAAGAAGAAGACGAAGACGGAGGUUAGAAUCCGGCGAAUGCUCCGCUAAUUAUCCGAUCCCCGCGUCUCCGGACUAAUGGGUCGGCAAAGAGGGGAAAAAGAGAGGGAAAAAGAGAAUGAGAGAGAGAGAGACCACCGACAAUAUCCAAUUGAUCAUCCGACAAUCCUUUCUGAUGAACGAGGGAACUUCCUAUCUUGUAACGUGAAAGGAAAAUCCUCUUGAAAUCUUAUUUCGUUAUCGUCGACGAAAUUUAUUGUUUACACGUUUACACUACUCGAUCUACAACGCAACAUGCAAAUACACAGAGAAAUUAUCUGUGUUGAGUGAAAACGUAAGACACAUUCCUUUAUCGGGACGAUCUAAAAGAAAAAAAGAAAAGAAAAAAACAGACCAAGGUCGGGACUUCACUACUGGAGUUUGAUAUUUCGACAACGUUGGUACGCAAUUUUAUGCUUCGCCGGAGCGGGUCCAUUUGAUGUUUACAAGAUACCAGAACGAUUGUUGUUGCUUGAAGAAAUGAUAAUGAGAGGAAUUGAAGAUACAUAUUGGAUAAAAUAAUUUUACAUGUUCGUCUACGUUUACCUUCCUGAUGUACAAAAACUACCCCUAAAGGAAUACAAUUAAAGACAAAAAAUUAUUUCAAUAACAAAUUUAUAAUUUGAUAGACUAUUGAA